CCUUUUGUUUUCUGGAAUAUACAUUUACGUUAUCUAUCACAAUUAUAAGAACCACCGUACAUUACAAGAGUUGCCCCUUUAAAGAGAAAACCUUAAACGACCCACAGAAGCUAAAACUAGAAGUCACAUGGAGUGUUCUUUAAAUUUUCAAACAUUUAUAUGAGACUCCUGUAUUCAAAAAUCCUGGUCAAUUCACCGAUCUCACGUGCACGAAGAACCGCUAAUGGAUGGGAUAAUUGACUCGUCUGAGCAUUUCUGUAGACAGGGGAAGUAUCUAAACAAACAAAGUUGCAAACACUCAAAAUUUUCACCGCCACCACUUAUAUAAAUCUCUGCAGGACCAGAACCUGAGAGUAACAUCCGCUUACGGAACCAAUCAAGCGUCCUAGACUACGCCAAUUUUAUAGUUCCUUAUGACAAUACAUGGAGAUUGAGCUGGGUUCACGGGUCAACCUGUCUCGCCCAUCCCGCCAAUCCGCAGAUUGAUUCAUCUUUUUCACUCAAAACAUCGACCCGCAUGAUCCGAAAAAAAAGAUUUACAUACCCGCAUCCGCCCUACCCAAGUUUGCAGCGGAUAUCCACGAUUCAAAAUCGAUCGACCUGUACCCACCCUGCGUAGAAUCGACUCAACCCGCACCCACAUGUUGAAUUUUUCGAAAUGACCAACCCACACCCGUCCCGCAGCGGUCAAAUGGAGCGGAACCCGCGGAUAAAAACUAAAAUUUCCAGCUUUAAUGAUGUGGCGGUUUCUAUUUGUAGCCAAACACUUAACCAUAGAUAGAAAUCAUAUAUUACCAAAUUUAUUAUCUUUGCUGUUGUAUAAUUUAGCUUUUCAUAUUUCAAACUCCUUUCAGUGAAAACAUGUGUUUAGAUGAAAUGGACUCGGAAGUUUAAAAGUUAUAACUUCCCAUUUAGGUUCUCCCUUACACAAGCAAACACAAACAGAAGCUCAUACCAUUGGUUUGGCUCUGUGUUUACUCUCUCACUUUCUCUCUAUAUAUAUUCUUCUACAGAAACCUUUUGUUAUAACUCAAAAGAGCUAUCAAAUCUCUCACAACACAACACACAGACAAACAAACUCACACAUUAGACGCAACAAGAACAA